CUUGUGCCAAGCAGCCGCGGUAAUUCCAGCUCCAAUAGCGUAUAUUAAAGUUGUUGCAGUUAAAAAGCUCGUAGUUGGAUUUCUGGUCGAAACCGCAAGCCCAACCCCGAGAGGGGUUGUUUGUGCUUUUAGCGUUUUGUUUCUGACCAUAAUCGGUUUUGGAGUCUUUUAUUUCUUUAUGGAAUUUAAGAUCUCCCCGUCUGUCACUGUGAGUAAAUCAAAGUGUUCAAAGCAGGCUUUUUUAUUUAAAAGCCACUGAAUGUGUUAGCAUGGAAUGACAAAAUAAGAUCUUGGUUUUGUUUUGUUGGUUUGAAAUCCGGGAUAAUGAUUAAUAGGGACAGUUGGGGGUAUUCGUAUUUUAUUGUCAGAGGUGAAAUUCUUGGAUUUAUGGAAGACGAACAACUGCGAAAGCAUUUACCAAGGAUGUUUUCAUUAAUCAAGAACGAAAGUUAGGGGAUCAAAGAUGAUCAGAUACCAUCGUAGUCUUAACCAUAAACUAUGCCGACUUGGGAUUCGUGAGUGAUUGUUUUUUCGACCUCAUGAGCACCAAAUGAGAAAUCAAAGUCUUUGGGUUCCGGGGGGAGUAUGGUCGCAAGGCUGAAACUUAAAGAAAUUGACGGAAGGCCACCACAACGGAGUGGAGCUUGCGGUUUAAUUUGAUUCAACACGGGAAACCUUACCAGGUCCAGACAUAAAAAGGAUUGACAGAUUGAGAGCUCUUUCUUGAUUUUAUGGUUGGUGGUGCAUGGCCGUUCUUAGUUCGUGGAGUGAUUUGUCAUUGCUUGAUUGCGGUAACGAACGAGACCUUUGCAUGCUAAAUAGUUUCUUGUAUCUACGGAUAUAAGUCAAACUUCUUAGAUGGACUUUGUGCGUCAAGCACACGGAAGUUAGAGGCAAUAACAGGUCUGUGAUGCC
rnacentral:rRNA from 1 species